CUGAGUAGGUCAGGAAAGGAGGGGAAAGAGAAUUUAUUCAUUUCUUUUACUAUACACUCUGCUAACAGAUAGGUUGAGGCCAUGGAAAUUAAAUUAGGAUAGAUUUGAGAGUCAAAAAGCUGAAGCUUGAUCACGUGGUCUAAGACCAUGGUUAAGGCUGUGCCUCAACUCUUCAGUUCUCUGAGUUAAUACAAUCUCUCCACUGUUUAAUUCUUGGUUUCUGAACUUGCAAUACAGAGUACUAACUCUUAACAAUACUAGAAUUAUACAAAUUUUCUAUGAAGCAAAACAUCAGUGUUUAUUGCCCAUGGCGACAAUAUUUUUAAUAAAAGCAAACAUAAUUCCCUGGGGAUGAAAUUAUCUAGCAGUUUUUAAGGGUAUUUUGCAAUCUCUUCACAGGUGCCAGGGAACGACCCACAGAGUUCCUGGAAAUCCCUAAAGGGAAGAGGAGAUUGGAUACAACUGGUCAGGAGGUAAAGGAAGACUGCCAUAAUUGGGCUGGUGACCUGGUAUUUCCGGAACGUGGAAGCUCAUCAUCACUUACAACAAUCUUUUGAAACUCUGCAAAAGUUACAAAAGCCUGAAGUCA
rnacentral:lncRNA from 1 species